rfam:Eutrema salsugineum unplaced genomic scaffold scaffold_5, whole genome shotgun sequence.
UGGCUAUGAUUAUAAAAUUACCCGCGCUUCUGAGAUCCAUUAAGGUCAAUGAAGCAUAUACGGUAAAACAUGGUUGAAUUUCUUACUAUGAGCCC